GGAAAGAACAGACAGCAAGUGUGACUGUGCACCGGGUGUGUGGACGCCGCUUUGUUGCCUGAGGCGGGUGGCGGUGGAAGUUAAGGGGGUCAGAGGCUAGCGCUGCUCAGGACCCGCGAUCGCCGUCGCUGCAAUCACGUCGCCCGGUAGCCUUCCGCGUGGGAAUCGCACCGACAGCAGCCAUGAGCGGCGGCGUGUACGGCGGAGAUGAAGUUGGAGCCCUUGUUUUUGACAUUGGAUCCUAUACUGUGAGAGCUGGUUAUGCUGGUGAGGACUGUCCCAAGGUGGAUUUUCCCACAGCUAUUGGCAUGGUGGUAGAAAGAGAUGAUGGAAGCACAUUGAUGGAAAUAGAUGGUGAUAAAGGCAAACAAGGCGGUCCCACCUAUUACAUAGAUACUAAUGCCCUGCGUGUUCCCAGGGAGAAUAUGGAGGCCAUUUCUCCACUGAAAAAUGGGAUGGUUGAAGACUGGGAGAGCUUCCAAGCUAUUUUGGAUCAUACCUACAAAAUGCAUGUCAAAUCAGAACCCAGCCUGCAUCCUGUCCUCAUGUCAGAAGCUCCGUGGAACACUAGAGCCAAGAGAGAGAAACUGACAGAGUUGAUGUUUGAACACUACAACAUCCCAGCAUUCUUCCUUUGCAAAACUGCAGUUUUGACAGCAUUUGCUAACGGGCGUUCGACUGGGCUUAUUUUGGACAGUGGAGCCACUCACACCACUGCAAUUCCCGUGCACGAUGGCUAUGUCCUUCAGCAAGGCAUUGUAAAAUCCCCUCUCGCUGGAGACUUUAUUACCAUGCAAUGCAGAGAGCUCUUCCAGGAAAUGAAUAUAGAACUGAUUCCUCCAUAUAUGAUUGCAUCAAAAGAACCUGUGCGCGAAGGAUCACCAGCAAACUGGAAAAGGAAAGAGAAGUUGCCGCAGGUCACAAGGUCUUGGCACAAUUAUAUGUGUAACUGUGUUAUCCAGGAUUUUCAAGCUUCAGUACUUCAAGUAUCAGAUUCAACUUAUGAUGAACAAGUAGCUGCACAGAUGCCAACUGUUCAUUAUGAAUUCCCCAAUGGCUAUAACUGUGAUUUUGGAGCAGAACGGUUAAAGAUUCCUGAAGGAUUAUUUGACCCUUCCAAUGUAAAGGGAUUAUCAGGAAAUACAAUGCUGGGAGUCAGUCACGUGGUCACUACAAGUGUUGGGAUGUGCGAUAUUGAUAUCAGACCAGGUCUCUAUGGAAGUGUCAUAGUGGCAGGAGGAAACACGCUAAUACAGAGCUUUACUGACAGAUUGAAUAGAGAACUCUCUCAGAAAACUCCCCCAAAUAGAGGCCUGGUGCACGGGUGGGGGCUACUGAAGGAGCCACAGAUUGGGAUAACUGGACUUGGUGUUGGAAGACAUGAAGUACUAUAUGAAGCAUUUAGCACCAUACCUGACUUACAGUCAGCAUUAAAGUAUGCGGUUAAAAUUGAUUGCAAAUAAUACAACAGUGGAGCGGAGGUUUAGUUCAUGGAUUGGUGGCUCUAUUUUAGCUUCUUUGGGCACCUUUCAACAGAUGUGGAUUUCCAAACAAGAGUAUGAAGAAGGAGGGAAGCAGUGUGUAGAAAGGAAAUGCCCUUGAAAAGUGUUCCCACACCUCUACCUUCCUGUCACCUUACGUUUCAUAGCUUUAGUACACUCAGGAAAAGAAUGACCAUCUUUUGUAGAAUGUUUAUACAUUUUUGCAUAUUUCAAUUUCCACUUAAAAUUUUCAAGGCUUUAACUGGCUCUAUAAACUAAAAUAAGUUUGUGCUUUCCUUGGGAUGCACUUAUUCUUAUUAUAAGCAUUUUAUAAUUUUAUAUAAAUGUCUAUUUUCUCUAAAUAUUUUGCUUUCAGUCAAAUGCUUUCCAACUCUGCUUAGUAUUAAUUACCAGUGGAUUGAUAGAAUUGCUUUUUAUUGAUGAGUAAAACAUAUUGCCUAUGCUUUUUACCUUAAUAAAAAUUGCUAGCCAUCCAGAAACAUUUUGGAC